CCCAUGGCGGCCUUCUCUCCUCGGACACUCUCUCAAACGCCCUCUCCCUGGGCAGCUUCCCCCUUCCCUGGCGGCCCUUCAGGGUCCUUCUCCCCGGUCAGCCCCAGGCUGUCCCCUCCCGAGCUCUCUGGCCAUGCUGUUUGUCCCUGGUCUUCCUCCUUGGUUCUCGCAAGCAAGAACCCUCCGGCCACUCCGUGCGCCUGGCAUCUGGCACCCAGCGGGCACUGGAUGGGGGACUGGACCAAGUGAGGCCACGCAAAGGCUGGAUUCUGUUCUGGAGGAGGGCAGGGAAGGAAGGCAGGACAGGGAGACACCCAGGAGGAGGCGUGGGAGGGGCCCCGGGCUGGAAGGCCCCGCCCACCGUCCCUAACGUCACAUCCGCUGACCCCGUUUCCGGUCUUCGACCGCCCUGGGGGCUUUGGGGCGCCCGCCCUGUGGGAUCUCGCUUGAUCCUCUCAGCACCCCUGGGUGCGAUGCCGUUGUUUACAAUGCAGGAAACUGAGGCAGACGCGUGAAGAGACAGCGUGGGUCCCACUGCCUGUAACGGUCAUUCAAGGGGCCCACAACCAUGGCCUACUCAGUGGCCCGGUGCAAGUCACUGCCUCCCUGGCCUUUCUUCUCUUCUGUGAUAUACCUCAGUCAGACAGGCUGGCCUCCGACUCCCCUGCAGCUCAAGGUCUGCCCAACAGUCUUGUACCCAUUCACAGUGAUUCUGUGUGUCUGUGUAAGAAUGACAUCCGUGUAAAUGGAAACAACUAUAAAAAUCUGAAGCCUGUCAAGAGAAA